ACUUUCUCAUAUAUAUGGGGUGACCACAAGUGGAGAGAUAAAUAUGCCAGAGUAAAGACAGCCACACAUAUCUGACACUUCUCCCAUUAAAAAGUGGAACCUAUUUCCUUCCACUUGAAUAUGGACUGACCUGAGACUGCUUGGACACGUAGAAAAUGGCAGAAAUGACAUAUGGCCAGUCCCAGGCUUUGUCUUGGAGAGACAUGGAAACAUCUACCUUAGUCUCUUGGAGCCUUGAGUUGGCAGGAAAUAAGCCCAACCAGCCACCCGGCCGGAGAAAGCACCGGGAAAGGCCCCAAGAAUAUGUGAAGAAGGAUACGGGCCUGGUAGAGCCCAGGCUUCCAACCAACCGACAAGGCUCCAGGCAUGAUAAGGAAAUCAUCCCAGUCCUUCCAGCAGCACCAGCAGCCAACGGAACAACAUCACUAAGUGACUCCAGGUGUGCUAUCUUCCCCAGUUCCUGUUGCACAAGACCACGAUAUAACGAAGUGGGUUCUUUUACACCGAAAUGAAGAAACAGAGCUGCAAAGAGUUGCAGUAGCUGGCCUGGGAUCACAAACAGGAAGCUGAUGCUGGAGCCUUUUCUAAGGCAGGUUUGCCUAUGUGUCAUCCACUACCUUCCCAUAGGAUGGAGCAAGUCUGACUGAGCCCCACAAGCCCUUUCACGUUUCUGAGAUCUGUAUUUUUCUGUAUGGGAAAGAAUGAUGGUUGAUUUGGCAUUGCCAUUGUCAAGAAAAUGCGACUCUGCAGGACUCGUGGAAAGGUAUGCACGUAUUGAAUUAGUAACAGGAUCCUGAAGUGCCAGCUGUCUUUCUUUAUUCAUAGCUUUUCAUAGCUGGAGGUACAGUGCAGGAGGAGGAGGAGGUAAGAGGAGGACAGGAGAUUGUGUAAUUCUUACAGGAAGAAAGCCAGAAGAAAAGGAAAAAUGCAAGCCGUGUCGGCACACAGGCGACUGUACGGAAAUGAGAUGAAUGUUCAGCUGUGUCCUGAAAUGGUCAUGGAGCACAGGGCUGGAAGAACUGUUGCCUUUUGCAGUCUUGCUGGAGGCAUAAUCUAGACUUCAUAAAUUAUCAGCUGCUCUGCUCUGCUCAGCUCAGCUUUGUUCAGAAAACACGUACUGAGAAGCUGUUUUAAGCCUCACAUUCACACAGACCAUGCUUUGCAGGAGCUCAGAUUCCAUAAGGGCUGCAGACCCACAAAGGGAUCACCAUGGUGCCAUGUGCAGAAAAAAGAAUAGGCAGUUAAGGCAAAGCUGAGGGGAGGCGACCAAGCAAGCCUGGGCCAGGGUAGGAAUCAAGGAGGACUUCUAGAAGGAGGUGAUGGCUGAAUCUUCGGAGAUGAGCAGGCAGUUGCAGGGUCGAGGUGAGAAAGGCGAUGGUACUAACACAGCCAUUCAUGUGUGGAACAGCAUGUAUGGUGACCUGUGUGCAUGGGUAUUUUAAUUUGGGCUAAAUGUGUCUCUUAUGAUGAGAUGGAUAAUGCCAAGCUUUAUUUGCAGGCUGAAGGUGGCACACCUGCCUAGCCUCUUUCACUAGUGUCUCAUGGGGGUUGGAAUAUAAUAUGAUUCCUUCACCAUUAUAAUUGUGCCUUGGCACAGUAAGCUUUCAGUUGCCAAAAAAAUACUUAGCAGAAUAUGAAUCAGAAAAAUCAAAGCACUUUAAGAAAAGGAUUAAUUAUUAAGAGCAUAUCUAUUAAAGCUUACACUCAGAAAAGAGCUACAAAUUGGUUCUGAAUACGGCAGUGUGGAGGUUCUGGACAUACUUCUAUGGGUCUUGUGCCAUAACAUCUUGCAAAGUGUUAGCUGACCCAGGUAAUUCAAGACAAAGUUCAUAUAACCCCUGCUAACUAUUAAGAUUCUUCCAUUACUUUCUUUUGAGAACACCCGAAGAUUAGCCAAACAUUAGGGAACAGCUCCUGCUGCGCCAAAACUUUGUGUACUGUGUCCUCCUGCUGAUCAAAUGAUGCUUCGUUUGCAAAAGGAACAAGGGGAAGAAAUUCUGAAAAAGAGGUUUGGUUCACAGAGAUAACCUCCCUUCCACUGUGUUACGCUAACAGAUGUAUCGCAUGAAGCCAUCAUGUCACAGAGAUACAUAUUUCCUUGGAAUAAAAACCUGUUUUCUUUGUAAUGUUAAUCCUAA
rnacentral:lncRNA from 13 species